CUCCACUCUAUGCUAUGUCUACCAUGUGCUGCCAUGAUGUUCCACCCUAAAUUGUAAGAGGACCUCAAAGGCACAUGCCUCCAUGGUACACCUCACUUUGUAUAGUUUAGUUUUUAGGAAGGCUAAAACCAUCAUCUUGGAUAUGCAACAAGAUCCACUGGGUCUGUUUGAUACCCAGGCACCCAGGAAGGAGGGAGUGCAUUGAUUGACCAGCAUACAAGGCUCCUCUCAAGGGAACAGGGAGAGGAUUCUUCCAGAAGGACUGUAUUGAAUCUGAUCCACAUGCCCAUCAAUGCCAAAGUCAGUGUAAGGCUCAUUCAGCCUGACUUGAGUUCUUUUCUCUGGGUAAGUGAAUUAUUGCACUAACCUGCCCUUUGAGAGAGCAUUCCUGGCAAAAUUCUAGGUGCAGUAUCCUCUGGUAAACCAUAGGGAUGCAACACCAAGUACUCCUCUCAUGGAAGCCAUUGGCAUCCAAAAAUUUUCAAGGACAAAUCUCUGUUGUUGCUUGCCUUGCUGCUGUUGCAAUUCGUCUCCUAACUUAGCAGGAUAUAAAAGAUCCCAUCCAUGGAGACAAGUGGCUAAAUAUUUAAUGGAAAAAGGAAAGAAGGAGCAUGUUGUUCCACUCCCCUUAAGACAUCUGAGGACGUUCCUCAGCUCAUGCAAGAUUGUAAAUCUCCUGACCAAUGUGUCCGGGCACUCCUGAGUGCUGCUACCUAAUCAACAUGCGAACAGCCUCCUUCUUAAGAGUAAAUUGUCACAAAAUCAGGAUGUGAC
rnacentral:lncRNA from 1 species